rnacentral:rRNA from 1 species
AACGAACGCUGGCGGCAUGCCUAACACAUGCAAGUCGAACGAGACCUUCGGGUCUAGUGGCGCACGGGUGCGUAACGCGUGGGAACCUGCCCUUAGGUUCGGAAUAACUCCCCGAAAGGGGUGCUAAUACCGGAUAAUGUCUUCGGACCAAAGAUUUAUCGCCCUUGGAUGGGCCCGCGUUGGAUUAGCUAGUUGGUAGGGUAAAAGCCUACCAAGGCGACGAUCCAUAGCUGGUCUGAGAGGAUGAGCAGCCACACUGGGACUGAGACACGGCCCAGACUACUACGGGAGGCAGCAGUGGGGAAUAUUGGAAAAUCGGCGAAGGCCUGAUCCAGCACUGCCGGGUGAGUGAUGAAGGCCUUAGGGUUGUAAAGCUCUUUUACCCGGGAUGAUAAUGACAGUACCGGGAGAAUAAGCACCGGCUAACUCCGUG